rnacentral:rRNA from 1 species
CAAUAGCGUAUAUUAAAGUUGUUGCAGUUAAAAAGCUCGUAGUUGAAUUUCGGGUCCCCGCGCUCGGCGCUUCAUCGUGCCGUCGUGGUGUCCCUCCUCGCCGUAAGGCGUCCUUUACUGUGAAAAAAUUAGAGUGUUCAAAGCAGGCAAUCGCUUGAAUACAUUAGCAUGGAAUAAUAAGAUAGGAUCUUGUCUAUUUUGUUGGUUGCGGACAACGAUAAUGAUUAAUAGGGAUAGUUGGGGGUGUCCGUAUUGAGCUGUCAGAGGUGAAAUUCUUGGAUUUGCUCAAGACGAACUACUGCGAAAGCAUUCACCAAGGAUGUUUUCAUUAA